rnacentral:tRNA from 2 species
GGGGAGAUGCCCGAGUGGCCAAAGGGAUCAGUCUGUAAAACUGACGGCAACGCCUACGGAGGUUCAAAUCCUCCUCUCCCCACCA